AUACUGCAUCAGGAACUGACUGG
rnacentral:miRNA from 2 species